rnacentral:sRNA from 1 species
UCGUAGCGAUUGGUUUUGUCUUGAAAA